GAGAAAAUAAGGGAAAUAUGAAGAUAGUAAGAAAACAUGUAAAGAAAAAUUUAUUAAAUGAUAUUAGUAACACACUUGCACCAAAAUCAUGGCCCAAAAUGAACUUCGCCACUCCUGUCAAUGUCAAUGAAAUGAAAGAAUUUGCCAGGCAAAUUUUUUUCUCAUCAACCAUGAUUAUAUUUUGCAUUAUUCCAUUAAGUAAUGCAAAACAGUUUCACGGUUGGUUUAAUGGCAUUUUUUGUCAGAGGUUUUAUAUAUAGACACUACUACUACUACAGCUAAUAAGUUUGGACACACUUGAACUGAAUUUGUUUCUCAUGAUCUUAAACUUAUUGUAGAAGUUUAUGCUUAAAUACCUAAAAUUAGUUAGACAAAUGUAAAGUAUAUCUACACUACCUUUUAAAAGUUUUAUUUUUUAUUUUUUAUAAAUUAAUACUUUUAUUCAGCAAGGAUAAAGUAGCCUAUUAAAUUGAUCAAAAGUGACAUUUAUAAUAUUACAAAAGAUUUAUAUUUCCAUUUAUCAAAGAAUCCUGAAAAAAAAUGUAUCACAAUUUCCACAAAAAUAUAAAGCAGCACAACUGUUCUCAACACUGAAAUGAAUAAGAAACGUUUAUUAGAAUAUAUUUAACAAUAGUAGGGUACAACGGGGCUAAAGGCGCCUUUGAUUUUAUUUUCCUCUAAACCACUAGAUGGCACAAAAACUUGCCGCAGCACUUUACUAAAUAUCCGCUUUUCAAAAUGCACAUGCAAAUUUGUCUGAUCCUUGACGCGAUCGCGGGCAGCAACGCAAAGUUGAUUUUGAGCUCUUAAAAUGGCAGUCUCUGCAUAUGGCAGUGUGACGGUGAGGGGGAGUGUGCUCUGCUCUGAUUAGACAGCAGUGCUGUGCUGGUGGUUUGGGAGUGAAUCUGAGUGAGAGGGUUAGUAACUCACAUGGUAAGGCAUGAGUGUGAGGAGUGACCCCAGCGGGAACUGCUUGAAGUCCAGUUUUCCAGAGAUGGGCUCCACCCUGCCGUGUUCCUGAGUCAUAGACAGUAGUCUGCAAAACAGACGACACC